CGGUGUGAAAGUCCAUCGCUUAACGGUGGAUCCGCGCCGGGUACGGGCGGGCUUGAGUGCGGUAGGGGAGACUGGAAUUCCCGGUGUAACGGUGGAAUGUGUAGAUAUCGGGAAGAACACCAAUGGCGAAGGCAGGUCUCUGGGCCGUUACUGACGCUGAGGAGCGAAAGCGUGGGGAGCGAACAGGAUUAGAUACCCUGGUAGUCCACGCCGUAAACGGUGGAUGCUGGAUGUGGGGCCCGUUCCACGGGUUCCGUGUCGGAGCUAACGCGUUAAGCAUCCCGCCUGGGGAGUACGGCCGCAAGGCUAAAACUCAAAGAAAUUGACGGGGGCCCGCACAAGCGGCGGAGCAUGCGGAUUAAUUCGAUGCAACGCGAAGAACCUUACCUGGGCUUGACAUGUUCCCGACGGUCGUAGAGAUACGGCUUCCCUUCGGGGCGGGUUCACAGGUGGUGCAUGGUCGUCGUCAGCUCGUGUCGUGAGAUGUUGGGUUAAGUCCCGCAACGAGCGCAACCCUCGCCCCGUGUUGCCAGCGGAUUAUGCCGGGAACUCACGGGGGACCGCCGGGGUUAACUCGGAGGAAGGUGGGGAUGACGUCAGAUCAUCAUGCCCCUUACGUCCAGGGCUUCACGCAUGCUACAAUGGCCGGUACAACGGGAUGCGACGCGGCGACGCGGAGCGGAUCCCUGAAAACCGGUCUCAGUUCGGAUCGCAGUCUGCAACUCGACUGCGUGAAGGCGGAGUCGCUAGUAAUCGCGAAUCAGCAACGUCGCGGUGAAUGCGUUCCCGGGCCUUGUACACACCGCCCGUCAAGUCAUGAAAGUGGGCAGCACCCGAAGCCGGUGGCCUAACCCCUUGUGGGAUGGAGCCGUCUAAGGUGAGGCUCGUGAUUGGGACUAAGUCGUAACAAGGUAGCCGUACCGGAAGGUGCGGCUG
rnacentral:rRNA from 1 species